GCGCCGCUAGCUCAACUGGCAGAGCAGCUGACUCUUAAUCAGCGGGUUCGGGGUUCAAGUCCCUGGCGGCGUA
rnacentral:tRNA from 1 species